AUCAUGGAACUAUUGCACACUCCCUGUGGGCGUGAGGUACUUGCCUAUCCAAAUCAGAAGGACCUCUUUUUCAUUCCUUGAGCUUCUGCUCAUGCAUUCAGAACCAUUCCUAGGCCAAGGAAGAACACUCUGAUUUUGAGAUUCUGUAGAAUUAGAGAGCUGCUGCAGGAAUGGGAGAAGACAAACGCUUCAGGACCAUAGAAGGAGGGGCACAGGCAAUCAUAAAUCAGAGAAAGAUGCUGGUCCUGCAGAAAGAGCCACUAACCCUGGAGAGAGAGCCGCCUUGGUGCAUUGAUGACUGAUGAGCCGACAACAGUUGGAGAUGAGAGCAAGUAGUGGUUCAAGCACUUGAGUUUAGGAUAGUGUUAUGGACUAAACUGUGUCCACUCCAAAUUCAUGGUUAAGCCCUAACCGCUACUGUGACUAUAUUCGAAGAUAGAGCCUUUAAGGAGGAAAGGAUAUGUGUGAACACAGCAAGAAGGUGGCUGUCUGUAAGCCAAAAAGGGAGGCCUCACCAGAAACCAACCCAGCUGGCACCUUGAUCUUGGACAUCC
rnacentral:lncRNA from 1 species